CAGAUGCCGAGGAGUCAAAAGGGACCCACAUGUCUGUCCUUGAGCUUUACGUCUGGGAUGCGUCCGAACACAUGCAUCGCUCAUGGUGAAGGCGUCCGAACACGUGGGAUUGACUCGAAGUCGUGUCAGUGUCAGUUUCCGCAGACAGUGAAGGGCAACGCCCAGUUUUUUAUCUCGCGGCGCCGGAAUGACAACGACGCCAUUGGCUGCGGCGACGAGGAAUUCUGAUUGGUCACGGAUGAGAGGAUGGCGUCUAUUGGCUGGCAUUAAAAAAGAAAGAAGCCUUGUGAUUGGACAGCUGAUGAGGAGAACUUCGCGGAGGCGGUCGACGACGGGAGCUCGACACCCUGACCCUGAUUUAACCUGUUUGAACUCCAUUAAGAAGCGAUUAUAAAAACGUUAAUUAGACUUUACUUAAAGCUUUAUUGAAUUCUUAUGUCUGAUUUACUGGAUAAGGAAUUUGAUGGUCCUUAUUCUUUCUUCUUUUAAUCGUUCAUACUGUUGAAGAUUUCCUUUUCUGUUGGCUGCAUAACUCGUUUGUUAGACUGGCUGUGUAUUCCUUUUUAGACUAAUUGUUUUAGAGUGUAUUUUUUCUUUCAAAGUUGGAAGUUGUUUUGUAAAUAUUAUUUAUUUUAAGGCAA